CUUAUUGAGGGCAGGGAGCUUCCUGUUUACUGACUUGAGAUGGUGCUAUAAAGGACCUCACUAAAUACAAGGAGCCUACCUCACUCUUUGAACACUUUAUUGUUGUGGGGCUUCAUCCAGAUGCUAAUCUUGAGAUUGUGGAGGAUGCAUUUGCUAAAAGGAAGAAAUGGCAGUUACAAAUGGCAAAUUCUGAAAUAUUAGAAUUUAAAAAGCUGCAGCAUCGGGCGCCUUCAAUUCCAACAUUGGAACCUCAGAUACUUUUUAGAUACCCUCCUGGAAAGAGG